UCUGGUGAUGAUGGCAAAGAGGCCACACCCGUUCCCAUGCCGAACACGGAAGUUAAGCUCUUUAGCGCCGAUGGUAGUUGGGGGUCUCCCCCUGUGAGAGUAGGACGUUGCCAGGC
rnacentral:rRNA from 1 species